GACGAACGCUGGCGGCGUGCUUAACACAUGCAAGUCGAACGGAAAGGCCCUGCUUUUGUGGGGUGGUCGAGUGGCGAACGGGUGAGUAACACGUGAGUAACCUGUCCCUGACUUUGGGGUAACUUCAGGAAACUGGGUCUAUUACCGGAUAGGAGCUCUUGCUGCGUGGGGGGGGUUGGUAAGAUUCGGCUGUUGGGGAUGUACUGGCGGCUUAUCAGCUUGUUGGUGGGGUAGUUGCUUACCACGGCUUUGACGGGUAGCCGGCCUGGGAGGGGGACCGGCCACCAGAGGCCUGAGAUACGGCCCAGACUCGAACGUGAGGCAGCGGUGGAGAGUAUUACACAGUAGGCUGACGCCAGAUGUGACGACGCCGCGUGCGGGAAGACGUGCUUCGGGUUGUGAACCGAUUUCGCCUGAGACGAGGCGUGAGUGACGGUAACGGGUCAAGAAGCACCGGCUAACUACGUG
rnacentral:rRNA from 1 species